AGACCAUCCCCCCAUUCCUAAAGUAACAGCAGGGACCCCUGCAGGAAUACACAGAAGGUGCUCGGUCCCAGGCUGGGCUGGGGCUGGACCCAGGGAGACUUUCCCAUAUGUGCAUGGAAGCUCUGGAAGGCACAGAGGCUGGACAAGAAUCCAAACCAGAAUCCCAUCCGACCUUCUCACUUUGCAGAAGCAGAAACCCAGACUCCGAAGAGCACAGGCAAGGCAGGAAGAGUUGAGGCGCUCAAGCCGAGCCCCCAGAUCUGCCCAGUCGGCAUGGACCUCCUCAGAGGACUCUGGAGCAGCCCUGGUAGGAGGGUCCCCACACUAGGGCAGGUCAAGGGCCCAGGGAUGGAAGGAGCUAUGCAGUUUCAAAGCCUGAACAGCAGCAACUGAAAGCUAGCCAGGCCAUACCACUCCUGUCCCUGACCUGCCCCAACCUGCCCACACUGAGGAGGGGAGAAGUGACAUCUGCGGACCAACAGGGAACAUCCCAGAAAAAUUUGCCACAAAGAACCACAGCUCCUGGGGUGAGCUCACAAACAGUUUCUUAAAGGCAUAUACAGACUCAACAAGAUGGAGUGGACCAAAUCAAGCUGAAGACAGUGAUCUCUCUCCUCGUCCCACCUACAGUCACCUCCAUUUUUCUGGAGACUGAGAAGAAAAAUUCUAGAACAUCCCUGCCUCACCCUAGUCGAAAACACUGACAAGAAACUGGAGAAACUCCAGGCCAGGCGACAGGCUCAGGCCAGACGCAGCAGGUUCCAGUUACCAGAACCUUUGGGUUCUGGAGGUGCUAACCCACAGUGCUCUGUGUAAAGGUCUUGCUACCGGCCAUCAAGACCUGCAAUUAUGAGGGAGAGCCAACAAAUGGGCAUCUCUGCAGCUGGUGGGAAGACAAUAAGAUUUGCCCCAUGAACAAAGAUGACUCAGAGGAACAGAAGGGAAAUAACAUUUAUGGCACUUAGUAUUUGUUGUCUAUGGUUGUGUGACAAAUGACCCCCAAACUUUGUGGUUUAAAAAAAUAA